rnacentral:rRNA from 1 species
UCUCUGGCAGAUUGGUCUGCCUUUUGGUGUGUACUGAUUUGUUGGAGGCUUACCUCUUGGUGAACUUUGAUGCACUUUACUGGGUGUUGAAGGGAACCAGGACAAUUACUUUGAAAAAAUUAGAGUGUUCAAAGCAGGCUUUUGCCUGAAUACAUUAGCAUGGAAUAAUAAAAUAGGAUGUGUAGUCCUAUUUUGUUGGUUUCUAGGAUUACCGUAAUGAUGAAUAGGAUCAGUUGGGGGCAUUUGUAUUACAUCGCUAGAGGUGAAAUUCUUGGAUUGAUGUAAGACAAACUACUGCGAAAGCAUCUGCCAAGGAUGAUUUCAUUGAUCAAGAACGAAGGUUAAGGGUUCAAAAACGAUCAGAUACCGUUGUAGUCUUAACAGUAAACUAUGCCGACUGGGGAUCAGGCAAGGAUUUAUAAUGACUUGUUUGGCACCCAAAGGGAAACCUAAAGUUUAGGUUCGUGGGGGAGUACGGUCACAAGGCUGAAACUUAAAGGAAUUGACGGAAGGGCACCACCAGGUGUGGAGCCUGCGGCUUAAUUUGACUCAACACGGGGAAACUCACCAGGUCCAGACACAGUAAGGAUUGACAG